rnacentral:rRNA from 1 species
UACAGAGGGUGCGAGCGUUAAUCGGAAUUACUGGGCGUAAAGCGCGCGUAGGCGGCUUUGCAAGUCGGGUGUGAAAUCCCCAGGCUUAACCUGGGAACUGCAUUCGAGACUGCAUUGCUAGAGUAUGGGAGAGGGAAGUGGAAUUUCCGGUGUAGCGGUGAAAUGCGUAGAUAUCGGAAGGAACAUCAGUGGCGAAAGCGACUUCCUGAACCAAUACUGACGCUCAUGUGCGAAAGCGUGGGGAGCAAACAGG